GCCACAAAGAAGCCAGAAAAUCACACUUCUCUCCUACUACCACCUGCUGCAUGUUCAUUACCUCACUGCAGAAGUACUGGGAACAUGGCUGAGACCUGUUCUGUGUCCUCUACACGAGAGAGGUUGGCUAUGUUGCAAAACCUGAGGAUGAAGGCAACAGGGCAAGAGAGCUUGGAGAGAGGAAUGCCUUUUUUGGAGUAAUGAAACUUCCGGGGUCC
rnacentral:lncRNA from 1 species